UCCCGCGUAGCGCAAUUGGUCAGAGCGUAAGACUUUUACACGUGGGAGAUCUUAAGGUUGAGAGUUCGAGCCUCUCCGCGGGAG